rnacentral:rRNA from 1 species
CCAGACUCCUACGGGAGGCAGCAGUGGGGAAUAUUGCACAAUGGGGGAAACCCUGAUGCAGCGACGCCGCGUGAGUGAAGAAGUAUUUCGGUAUGUAAAGCUCUAUCAGCAGGGAAGAAAAUGACGGUACCUGACUAAGAAGCCCCGGCUAACUACGUGCCAGCAGCCGCGGUAAUACGUAGGGGGCAAGCGUUAUCCGGAUUUACUGGGUGUAAAGGGAGCGUAGACGGCAUGGCAAGUCAGAUGUGAAAGCCCGGGGCUCAACCCCGGGACUGCAUUUGAAACUGUCAGGCUGGAGUGCAGGAGGGGCAGGCGGAAUUCCUGGUGUAGCGGUGAAAUGCGUAGAUAUCAGGAGGAACACCGGUGGCGAAGGCGGCCUGCUGGACUGUAACUGACACUGAGGCUCGAAAGCGUGGGGAGCAAACAGGAUUAGAUACCCCUGUA